UCCUGAUGUCAAGGUUUUCCAACCCCUGUAAAUUGUUGGUUUUCAAAACUCUUCCUUACUGGCCAUAGGUACCGGAAUUCAUCGAUCUCGAGACAGGUCAUGGUAUAUGACAAAAUUUAGGAACAGCGUUAUGUAGGGUCUCUGCUUUAAACAGCGAUUGUCCGCUUCUCUCCAAGGGGACCACCAGAAGUGGCUGCGGGGUGUCACAACCUUUGCGUUUUUCAUGACCAGAGAUCAUUCCGGAUCUGGGAAUGUCUGUGGUAAAUAGGCUUGCCUUCUAAUUGCACGGAGAGUUGCGCUACCUUUCUUUUUUUCAUGUGUUGGGGGCUAUAUUAGUUAAUAUAUGGAUGUUAUUGUUCAGUCGACCAGAUGCAAGCGAAGGAAGGUCAAAAUUGAUAAUAUCUCUUCUCCUAUCCCUUUCCAUGAUCGCCGAAGCACUCAAACCCCUUUCCUGCAUUUCUGAAUAGCUUGUCCUUCUUCAAUAUUUCAAUUUCCUUUUCUUCUUCUAGCUCUUGAACCCAUUAUUUGCAAAGACUGCUACUACUUACCCUGUCGCCUCAUCAAGCAGUUUAUAUUUACGAGGACCGAUUCUCCAGGGCAAAGAGCCCUCAACACCAAUGGCGAAACAAUUGAGGACUGUGCCAUCGAUAGCACAUUUGCAUCACCACUCACAACCCUGCAGCCAAUGUCCAUGUCCAGGUCAAUUUCAUAUUUGAACCAUGAAUGAUCCUUGCUUGCUGUCAUUACACAGCGUAAAUCUUCCCAAUCAUACUCCAUAUCCUCUUCAGAAAUGCCCAGCCCUAUUUUUGUGCACGUCAAAAACGGGAAAAAUUUACUCUGUAACCUUUGCGAU
rnacentral:sRNA from 1 species